GGGAUUGUAGUUCAAUCGGCCAGAGCGCCGCCCUGUCAAGGCGGAAGCUGCGGGUUCGAGCCCCGUCAGUCCCG
rnacentral:tRNA from 1 species